UACGGGGGGGAGCAAGCGUUGUGCGGAUUUACUGGGCGUAAAGGGCGCGUAGGCGGCCACCGCAAGUCGGUUGUGAAAUCUCUGGGCUUAACCCAGAAAGGUCAACCGAUACUGCGGGGCUAGAGUGCAGAAGGGGCAACUGGAAUUCUCGGUGUAGCGGUGAAAUGCGUAGAUAUCCGGAGGAACACCGGUGGCGAAGGCGGCUUCCUGGACCGACACUGACGCUGAGGCGCGAAAGCUAGGGGAGCAAACGGG
rnacentral:rRNA from 1 species